AUUUCUUAGGGCCCAAUUCUGCUCUCAUUCAAAUCAAUGAGAGUUCUACCAUUGACUUAACUGGGAGCACAAUUGGGACCUAAGA
rnacentral:ncRNA from 2 species